rnacentral:misc_RNA from 1 species
UACGAGUGGUGCGAGCGUUAUUCGGAUUUAUUGGGCGUAAAGGGUUCGUAGGUGGCUUUUUAAGUCUGUUGUUUAAUCUCCCGGCCCAACCGGGAAACAGCGACGGAAACUAUUUAGCUAGAGGAUGGAAGAGAGAAGUGGAAUUCUCGGAGUAGCGGUAAAAUGCGUAGAUCUCGAGAGGAACACCGAUGGCGAAGGCAGCUUCUUGGUCCAUUCCUGACACUGAGGAACGAAAGCGUGGGGAGCAAACAGG